rnacentral:lncRNA from 1 species
UUUUUUUGGCUUUUUAGGGUCACACAUGUGGCAUAUGGAAGUUCCCAGGCUAGGGGUGAAAUUGGAGCUGCAGCGUUGGCCUACACCACAGCCACAGCAAUGCAGGAUCCAAGCUACAUCUGUGACUCUACACCACAGCUCACAGCAAUAUCGGACCCUUAACCCGCUGAGCGGGGCCUGGGAUCAAACCCACAUCCUUAUGGAUACUAGUUGGGUUCAUUACCCCUGGGUCACAAUGGGAAUUCCAAGGGCUAACUCUUCAAUGCCCAAAGCUCCCUCUAUACCCAGCACUCUCCUCCUGCACCAUUUAGGCUUUAAGAAGCUGCUGCCAGAAGUGCUCGUCCCUGUCCCCCCAACUCCCUCAAGGCCUGCCACAGGAAGCUCAGGAGUGGAGGCCCCCAAGGCCAUGACCCUUCUAGUGCCACAUCCACUGAUUCAGAACAGUGAUGAUGAAGGAAGGUCUGGCUGUCCUGGGCACUGUCCCCUCCUGUCCCUCCUCCCAAAGGUAAACUAACACCCCCACCCCACCCCCAUGUUGAUCUCCACAUCAGGGACCACUUCCUUGGGAAUAACAACCUCGGACCAAUCUUCAUGCCACGUUCAAAAUACCUGACAACCAGCCUGAGGGAGCGGCACCCACCCCCCACCCCUGCUCUGCCAGGAGAGGAAUUGGAUGGAUGACAGGGGCAGGGGGACACAGGCUCUGUACCAGCCCCAAGGAAAGGAUUUCUAUGUCCUCCAACUGCUCAAAUGUGGGCCACGGCUGCACCCCCAGAGCCCCUGAGAGACGGGCUUGGUGAAGAACGGGUGGACAGAAAAAUGGAUGAACAGAGUAGGUGAGUGGGUGGUGGAUCCUCUGACGAGAAGCAGGUCAGGCAGGGAUGGUCACCCGCCAGCCCUGCCGACCUCUGAGCAGCGGCCACCUCCCAGCCUCCGGCUUAAGUUCCCUGUGCUCCAAGGCGGGAGGAGAAUGCAGCUCCCGACUCCAGGGAGAGGCUGGCCGGGUUUUAUUGCUUUUGUACAAAUUAUAGCUGCUCGGAAGUGGCCCAAGGAGCAGGGUAAUGGAUGUCAUAAACCUGCCUCAUAAAGACAGAGUUUGUGCCACAGGGCUGCACAGGGUGGCUUAGCAGAGGCCUGGAGCAAGUGGACAGCUCUGUGGUUCAGGGGCUAUGGGCACUGAGCUGCUAAUGGGGGUGUGUGGGUGGCAGGCAGGUCUCAGGACGGCUCAGGGCACCCCCGGCACCUGUCAGUCCUCCCAUGCUUCACUAAAGCUGAGUCCCCCACCAUGUGCUGCACCUCAUCUUUAACCUCCACUGUCCCCAGCUCCUGGGGGCAAAGCUGGCAGGUGACCUGCAUGCGACCACCCAGAUACCCUGCGCUCUGUACCCCACCACAGGGGGUCACCUGCUCUGCCCUCCUGAGCCCCAGACCUAGAGCUCCCAGAAGGCAGGGUUGUGCCCCUUCUGCCAGAGUGGGUGACAGUGGAGCCAGGAGCCACAAGGACCACUUCCAGGAGAAAGGGGUGGCGGGAGGCACACGCGUGUCAGCACACACGGCUGCAUGGCCUUCAGCCUCCAGGUAUGCCAAAUAGCUGCUGGGGCCAACGGGCUACUGCCCAGAGCUUUGGCUAGAGCUCGGCUGGCCUGGCCCAUCACUGUGCCAGACAGGGCCUGGCCCACGGCAGGUGCCUGGCAGAUGUUUGUGGGGUGAUAUUAGCGGUCACACGCGUGGGCAUGCUUGUGUCUCAGCAGAAGCUGCUAUGCCCAUCUGAGAAGCCUUUUGGGGCAGGCCUCUGUGCAGUGGCGUGUGUUUCCUGGGGCUGCCCAGUUGCCCGUGUCCCUCUCACAAAGUGCUGACUCUCACAGACAUGGGGUGGGGGGUCCAUAGCCCCUCCCUGUGAACUUCGGGGGCUCAUGACAAUAGAGGAUCAGGAAGCCAUGCCACACAACCUGGAGCCUCAGCCACAUCACUGCUACCGCGUCCUCCUGACUUGCUCUCAGGACCCUGAAAACCCGCCACCAUGCUGUGAGGAAGCCCAACCAGCCCACAAUGGGGAUGCCCACGUUGGGGGAGCUGAGGCCACCAACCAUGAGCUGGCAUCAAGCUCCAGACAGGGGAGUAAAGGAGACCUCUGUGACCCCCCCAGAUGUCAAGGUAGUUCCACAAGGAGCCUCGAACCCCACCCUGCCCCCUCAGACUUCCUCAGCAACUGAGGGGAAAGUCCACCCCUUGUUGUCAGCUCUGCCUGGGCCCUGCCAGCUGCUAGUUUUAGCUCUGCCCCACUGCCUGGGCUCUCAGGUGAAGGGACUGGCCAGGGGCACGCCCAGGCCGCAGCAGCCUCCCUCCACGGUCCUGUGGCAGGGCACCAGCUGGGCUCAGCCAUGUCUGACGGCACCCACUUGGGCCAGGAGCCUGAGGUGUGGAGGCCCUGGAGACCCAGGAGAUUAGCAGUCUAGCUGGGAAAUUAGCUGUCUGCGGCCCAACCAACAACUUAGAAUUCAUUUCCAGAAAUCCCCUGAAGGCAAUGAAGCCAAUCAGCUAAUUAUGCAAUGUGUGUGUGUGUGUGUGUGUUUGUGUGUGUGUGCGCUGCUCGCUGCUCUGCUGUGCAGAGUUACAGCCUCACCUCUGGUUCCUCACGCAUGUGGUGGCUCCCUCCCACCUCAGGGCCUCUGCAGGGCUACCCCCCACCCCCGCCAUGUCUGGGUGAGGUCUCUGGCCCCACCAUUUACACCAGCGUCCCCCUAAGCCCGCCUCUUUCUCAGCAGCACUCGCCACCUCCACGGAGGACGCUACUUGUUUGUUUUACUCAGCACCUUCUCUCCCAGACCCAGAGGCCCUGGGCACAGGGACAGAGGCAGGGAUGCUGGCUUUGCCUCCUCUCCAGCAGGGCUGACCACAGCAGGGCAGAUGCUCAAUCCAGGUUUGACGAAGGGAGGAAAGAAGAGAUGCAUUUGGAUGUGCCUAAGCCAAGGAGAGGGUGGGGGCUCAGCUGAGACCCAUCCCAGCAAUUGAGAGGGGGUGGGCUCAGAGGUGCUCUGAGGCCUACAGCCAAGUGGGCGCUGUUGCCGAGGGCUGGGGAGGGGUCAGGUGGGUGCUGAGGAGCCUGUGGAGGGUGGUGCUGGGUGGAAGAGGUUGGCAGGGACAAAGGGGCAUGUCAGGAGCAGGGCCAGCCUUCCCGCCUGGGGCUUGGCUAGGAGUACAUCCCUGAGCAGAGGCCCCUCCUGAUGGAGGGCGCCUGUGGCAGUCUCUCAGGUCCAAGGGCUUCAGUGUCCUCAUCCAGAGGGUGGGCAGCCAUCACCAUGGUGGCAAUGACCACCUUGGGGACAGCUGUGAGGACCCCUACCCAGGUCAUCGCAGGCCGGUCCCCUGAGAACUGCUUUGGUGUCAUGGCCGGCAUCACUGCUGCUGCUCUGUGUCCUCUGCUCCUGUCCCCAGGCAGCCACUCAGCACACGUGGGGUGGGGGCAGGGCCGGCUCCCCGCCUCGGCAGGCGUCUCCAUUCUCAUUUCUCUUUAAUAAAGAAAACUCCCGAGUCCCCUGCUUCGGCAGGAGAUGAAUCCUCAUGUCCUUGGUUGCAAGCAGCCAAAUUAAGAAAAUUACUUUCUAACUAAUUUUCUUGCGCUAACGAACAUCUGAUGGCGGGCUGGGGAGGCUGCACCAAGCUUUCGGGACAGACGCUUUUGAGGAUGAGCAAUAAUUGGGGAUUUGCUGGGGAUAAAUCUCAGCAAAUUAAACCCCUUCAAGUACGCCUAUAAACCAGGUCAGAUGACAAACGCCUCAUGUCGCUGAGCAAGUGCAGGGACGCUGUUGGGAGAAGCAAGGAUAAGCAUAACCCCUGCUGGGCCGGAGGACCCAAGCGCAGACAUGCACAGGCGGCAAGGGGCACACAGGCUGACACCUACACACAAAGCCAUGUAGCCACAGGUCACAUCAAGAUACCCACGGCAGAAUCACCGUCACACACCUACAGAGGUACCCGGAAGAAACAUGUAAUGCUUCCCAUGCAGGCGCGCAGCCCCGCCAUGGCCGCACAGGGACACCACCUCUCGGACACAGGCAUGUGACAGACACAUGUCAACACUCAGGGGUACACACAUUCCCCUUUCACUGAAAGCCACAAACACCCGAGCUGUCUGAGGGCUCUACCGUCAAGUCAGAGGCAGGAUGGCAGCCGCCCUGAGCUGCCCCUAGCCGCAAGCCUGUCUGCUGGCAAGCGUCCUCUGGACUCAUUCCCACUCCUCCAGCCACAGGGGCAGCCCCACUUGCCACCAUGUCAACUAGACAAGAGGGCCACCAGGGUUGGUUGACCCUGUGUGCCCUGAAGUGCCGGCCGGCACAUGUCAGGGACCAGCAGACACACCUGCUCGCACCAGGGCCUGGUGCACACACACAGGCUGCCUGCAGACACGGUUCAGGAGCCCCCCAUAGCUGAGCAGCAGGCGGGGC